UCAGAGUGUGCUGUUUGCUCCUUUCCUGCUUUUCAGCAUUGAGGUUGAAGACCAUGGUUAAGGAGGACAAAGGACAGAAAUGGACAGCUGAACAUUCUUCAGAGGCAACACAAUAAUAGUGGGACUUUUACCAAGGACAAGUCAGAGAAAAAUGAUGACACAAGAGACCUGAAAUAUGAAGAAAAUAAUCCUUUUGGGGGAUGCUUUAGGAAAAAGUUUUAUGACCUAAGUUUCUGAGUGAUAUAAAUCUUUUACAGACAAGCAAUAACAUGAAGAAUCUUAUUAAAAGACAAAGAGCAAAUUUCAUUAAAAAUGUGUACAUUGAGUAACAUUUUGAAUUCUGUUUUACUUCGUUGUAUAAAGGCAUUUGAACUAUAACAACCUUUA